rnacentral:rRNA from 1 species
UCGAACGGGGAUAAGACAUCGGAAGAGCUGCUUGCAGAAUGGAAGAAGUCAUAUUCUAGUGGCGGACGGGUGAGUAACGCGUGGGCAACCUGCCUUAUACAGGGGGAUAACAGCUGGAAACAGCUGCUAAUACCGCAUAAGCGCACAGCGGCGCAUGACGCAGUGUGAAAAACUGAGGUGGUAUAAGAUGGGCCCGCGUCUGAUUAGCUGGUUGGGAGGGUAACGGCCUACCAAGGCGACGAUCAGUAGCCGGCCUGAGAGGGCGGACGGCCACAUUGGGACUGAGACACGGCCCAGACUCCUACGGGAGGCAGCAGUGGGGAAUAUUGCACAAUGGGGGGAACCCUGAUGCAGCGACGCCGCGUGAGUGAAGAAGUAUUUUGGUACGUAAAGCUAUAUCAGCAGGGAAGAAAAAAGGACAAAAAAAGAGUUUGAAGCCCCGGCUAAGGGGGUGAAAACAGCCGCGGUAAUACGUAGGGGGCAAGCGUUAUCCGGAAUUACUGGGUGUAAAGGGAGCGUAGACGGCAAUGCAAGUCCGGAGUGGAAUGCGGCAGCUCAACUGCCGAACUGCUCUGGAAACUGUAUGGCUUGAGUGCAGGAGGGGUAAGCGGAAUUCCUGGUGUAGCGGUGAAAUGCGUAGAUAUUUUUAGAAACACCGGUGGCGAAGGCGGCUUACUGGACUGUAACUGAC